rnacentral:tRNA from 1 species
GGGCCGGUAGCUCAGCAAGGUAGAGCGGCGGUCUCCUAGCGCGCGGGAAGGUCGGGGGUUCAAGUCCCUCCCGGCCCACCA